AUUGAACGCUGGCGGCAUGCCUUACACAUGCAAGUCGAGCGGCAGCACGGGUGCUUGCACCUGGUGGCGAGUGGCGAACGGGUGAGUAAUACAUCGGAACGUACCUUAUCGUGGGGGAUAACGCAGCGAAAGCUGUGCUAAUACCGCAUACGCCCUGAGGGGGAAAGCGGGGGAUCGCAAGACCUCGCGCGAUUAGAGCGGCCGAUGCCUGAUUAGCUUGUUGGUGGGGUAAAAGCCCACCAAGGCGACGAUCAGUAGCUGGUCUGAGAGGACGAUCAGCCACACUGGGACUGAGACACGGCCCAGACUCCUACGGGAGGCAGCAGUGGGGAAUUUUGGACAAUGGGGGCAACCCUGAUUCAGCAAUGCCGCGUGAGUGAAGAAGGCCUUCGGGUUGUAAAGCUCUUUUGUCAGGGAAGAAACACCGGCUCUAACACAGUCCGGGAAUGACGGUACCUGAAGAAUAAGCACCGGCUAACUACGUGCCAGCCGCCGCAGUAA
rnacentral:rRNA from 1 species